rnacentral:rRNA from 1 species
AUGGACGGCCGCUGCCCCGGGUCCGCGUCCGUGCACAUGGCCGCGAUGUCCAGGAUCCCCUCCACCGCCUCCACCUCCGCGUCGCCCGACCGCGAGUCCAGGAUCUCCUCCAGGCGAUGCUCCCCGCUCAGCGUGUUCAGCUGCAUGCAUUUCGACAGUAAAGCAAAGGUUGAGACAUCGGAGCUGCUUGCUUGCUUUGGGAUAUAUUACUGGUUACAACAGCUUUGGAACAAGACUGCUUACCCAGCCGACGAUGUUGAGACCCUUGUUGAGGAAGCAAGAAUCCGUACUCUGGCAGCAAAGCUUUGUUAG